rnacentral:rRNA from 1 species
UACGUAGGGGGCUAGCGUUGUCCGGAUUUAUUGGGCGUAAAGAGCGUGUAGGCGGCCAGGUAGGUCUGGUGUGAAAACUCGAGGCUUAACCUCGAGAUGUCAUCGGAAACCAUUUGGCUAGAGUCCGGAAGAGGAGAGUGGAAUUCCUGGUGUAGCGGUGAAAUGCGCAGAUAUCAGGAGGAACACCAGUGGCGAAGGCGGUUACCUGGAGCUUUGCUGACGCUGAGGCGCGAAAGCUAGGGGAGCAAACGGG